AAUGUUUGGACUCCAUAGUUCUGAAAUUCCACUAGCCACAAAAACUGGCAUUCUUGGCCACACUGUGGCCAGCCCCAACAGAAGGGAAUGCAGAGGACUGUCCACAAUAGCACAGGACCCAAAUAGAGCAAUGUCUUGUGAGGAGAGAGUUGCUGCUUUGAAUCCUCAUGAACCGAGAAAGCCCUCAAAAUCCCAGUCUCCUGUUUGGCAGGGAGCAGAGCAAAACCAGGAUUUUAUUUCAUUUUUUCAGUAAUGAGUGAAGAGGAAGUAUCAAUAAAUGCUUUAACUUUGAUUACUUUGGGUUUUUU
rnacentral:lncRNA from 1 species